GGUGAUUGGUGGAGAAAGCGGCAGCUGUCCCAGCGGAAGCGACGAAGGGACGGGACCCGGGAGCCUGGACGAGUCCGAGCGCGUCACCUCCUCACGCUGCGGCUGUCGCCCGUGUCCCGCCGGCCCGUUCCGUGUCGCCCCGCACUGCUGCGGCCGCCGCGGCACCAUGGCUGUGUUUAUCGUGCUCCUGGCGUUGGUGGCGGGUGUUUUGGGGAACGAGUUUAGUAUAUUAAAAUCACCAGGGUCUGUUGUUUUCCGAAAUGGAAAUUGGCCUAUACCAGGAGAGCGGAUCCCAGACGUGGCUGCAUUGUCCAUGGGCUUCUCUGUGAAAGAAGACCUUUCUUGGCCAGGACUCGCAGUGGGUAACCUGUUUCAUCGUCCUCGGGCUACCGUCAUGGUGAUGGUGAAGGGAGUGAACAAACUGGCUCUACCCCCAGGCAGUGUCAUUUCGUACCCUUUGGAGAAUGUGAGUAUUUAUUAUAAAAAAUUAAAGGGAUGCAUUUUACAUUUUCCCUUGUCAGCUGUCAUUAUGAAUUGCAUUCUAAACAUACUUCUCUUAUCUGUUUUUGAUGCACAGUUUCUUUUGAAAUUCUUUGACAAACACAAUUUCUUUUUAAGAAAAUUACAUGGUGAUUGUAAUUAACUGAGGCUUGGCUGUUCUCUGUGGAUGAGAGUACUGUUUAAGAUAAGAGAUAGAGAAAUUGCCCCACUCAGAAUAGCCAGAGGCUUGAAAAAGAGAGCCACUAAAGGAGAAACCAGUUGGGGUUGUAUCCUGCUACCGUUUUUUUGGCCAUUGUCUUGUCAUCUUCCCUGCAGGAUUUUACCUCUUUUCGUGUGUAAGGACACUGGAGGCUGCUUGCUGGCUCACUUACUCCUUCACUGGCUAUUCAGGCAAUGUGGGUGACUGUGCUGAUCUAAGAGGCCCUCCUUCCAUUAUAAGCAUAUAGAAGUGCUUGAAAGAAUGUCACAAAAAACAUUUUUACUAGCAUAACUAAAUUUGAAUGCAAGAGGGGGUGGUAUACACAGGUGUUACAUAUGGAUGGAAAACUCAGAAGCCAUAGUGGUGAGCAGAAGCUGACGCUGAAACUGUGUUUCCUGCAGAAAGCCAGGGACUAGAAAUGCUGUCAACUUGUUCUUGAAAAGCAGACUAGUAAAACUAGUAAAGCUGGCUUGCUGCCCUUGGCUGUUGGACCCAAAGAGUCCCCUGAGAGAAAUUAGAAUUAGAAUUAUAGGCUUAUGCUGUGCAGAGUGGUUCUUUCCAAAUUCACAUGACCUGCCCCAUAGGGACAUCUCCAUAGCCAAGGGCUCCUUUGGUCAAAUACGGAAGAUGAGUGGAAUUUACAAAGCACCUGAAGGAAAAAAAAUGCCAUGAGAAACAGGUGCAACAAACAGAAUUCAUCUCCUUAGAACUACAGAGAAUAGGCCAAUUUCCAAGAGAUCUAAAAAUACAUACAUUAAAAUUGUGAAAAAAAAGGGCCAGGCAUGGUGGCUCACGCCUGUAAUCCCAGCUUUGGGAGGCCAAGAUGGGAGGAUUGCUUGAGGCCAGGAGUUCGAGACCAGCUUGGUCAACAUAGCAAGACCCUAUCUCUAGGGGGAAAAAAAAA
rnacentral:sRNA from 1 species